UACGGAGGGUGCAAGCGUUGUUCGGAAUUACUGGGCGUAAAGCGUACGUAGGCGGCGAUUUAAGUCGAAUGUUAAAGCCCGAGGCUCAACCUCGUGGAUGCCUUCGAUACUGGAUUGCUAGAGGGUGAUAGAGGAAAGUGGAAUUCCGAGUGUAGCGGUGAAAUGCGUAGAUAUUCGGAGGAACAUCAGUAGCGAAGGCGACUUUCUGGGUCACACCUGACGCUGAGGUACGAAAGCGUGGGUAGCAAACAGG
rnacentral:rRNA from 1 species